UACUCUCAUGGACUUAUCUGGUGUUAUAGGUGCAAAUUGGCCAUAUGUAGUCGGAGGUGGAACAUUCAGAUCAUAAGGAUGGUUGUCAGGGAACGAAUAUUCAUCUGCAUAGAAACAUUGGUUCAUCUACUGAUCAGAAAGUCACUUCAACUGGCUGUCCACGCUAAGGCGGCUAUCCUACCCUUAAAUUCAGUGACUGCCGAGUUUGCUUCUCCUACGGAACAUAUCAAAUUUGAACAAACUCGACUUCACUGCUUUAGAGGUCUUUAGAAAGAACUAUCUCAAGUGAGUCCAAGAUGUGAAACUCUACCUCACUGCAAAGAAUUUGCAUCCUGCCAUUAAAGAUGAGACGGACAACCCGGCUGGCGAAGCUGAUAAAGCCACUGCCAUGAUUUUCAUCCGAAGACAUAUUCAUGACGCAUUACAUAUCGAGUACCUUGUUUAGGAGGAUCCACAAGCAUUAUGGGUCAUUUUGGCUGAUCGUUUUGAUCACCAAAAGGACAUCUUCUUAAUGGAAGUAAGACAUGAUCGGCAACAUUUGCAUUUCCAAGACUUUAAGUCUGUGAAUGAAUAUAAUUCUGAAGUUUGUCGAUUCUGAUCAUUUCUUAAGUUUUGUAACGAAACUUUGACCGAAGAUGAUCUUUUGGAAAAGACAUAUUCGACCUUCUCUACUACUAAUAUUGUCCUGCAGCAACAAUAUAGAGCUCAGAAGUUUACCAAGUUCUUGGAUUUGAU